rnacentral:rRNA from 1 species
GAAACUGCGGAUCUUGGGGUCGGCAGGCGUCGAGGGUACUCCGGGGGUAGCGGUGAAAUGCUAUAAUCCCUGGGGGACCGCCAGUGGCGAAAGCGCUCGGCGGGGCCGAACCCGACGGUGAGGGACGAAGGCCAGGGGAGCGAACCGGAUUAGAUACCCGGGUAGUCCUGGCUGUAAAGUAUGUGGGCUAGGUGCUGGGCGUUCCUCGAGAGUGCUCGGUGCCGAAGGGAAGCCGUUAAGCCCACCGCCUGGGAAGUACGGCCGCAAGGUUGAAACUUAAAGAAAUUGGCGGGGGAGCACCACAAGGGGUGGAGCCUGCGGUUUAAUUGGAUUCAACGCCGGACAACUCACCGGGGGCGACGGCAGAUUGAAGGCCAAGUUGACGACUUUGCUAGACUCGCCGAGAGGUGGUGCAUGGCCGCCGUCAGCUCGUAUCGUGAGACGUCCUGUCAAGUCAGGUAACGAGCGAGACCCUCGCCUUUAGUUGCCAGCAGGUCCUUCGGGAUGCUGGGCACUCUAAAGGGACCGCUGUCGAUAAGGCAGAGGAAGGAGAGGGCGACGGUAGGUCCGUAUGCCCCGAAUCCCCCGGGCAACACGCGGGCUACAAUGCGCAGGACAGAGGGCUGCGACCCCGAAAGGGGGAGCCGAUCCCUAAACCUGCGCCUAGUUCGGAUCGAGGGCUGCAACUCGCCCUCGUGAAGCUGGAAUCCCUAGUAACCGUGUGUCAUUAUC